rnacentral:rRNA from 1 species
UGUCCGAGUUGUAAUCUAGAGAAGUGUUACCUGUGCUGGACCGUGUACAAGUCUCCUGGAAUGGAGCGUCACAGAGGGUGAGAAUCCCGUCUUUGACAUGGACUGCCUGCACGUUAUGGUGCGCUCUCAAAGAGUCGAGUUGUUUGGGAAUGCAGCUCAAAAUGGGUGGUAAAUGCCAUCUAAAGCUAAAUAUUGGCGAGAGACCGAUAGCGAACAAGUACCGUGAGGGAAAGAUGAAAAGAACUUUGGAAAGAGAGUUAAACAGUACGUGAAAUUGCUGAAAGGGAAACGCUUGAAGUCAGUCGCGUCUGCUAGAAAUCAACCUCGCUUUUGCUUGGUGUACUUUCUUGUUUGACGGGUCAGCAUCAAUUUUGACCAUUGGAUAAAGUCGUUGGGAAUGUGGCAUCUUAGGAUGUGUUAUAGCCCAUUGUCGCAUACGGUGGUUGGGAUUGAGGAACUCAGCACGCCCGCAAGGGACGGGUUUCGACCACGUUCGUGCUUAGGAUGCUGGCAUAAUGGCUUUAAUCGACCCGUCUUGAAACACGGACCAAGGAGUCUAACAUGCCUGCGAGUGUUUGGGUGGAAAACCCAUGCGCGCAAUGAAAGUGAAAGUUGAGAUCCCCUUCAAGGGAGCAUUGACGCCCGGACCAGACCUUCUGUGACGGAUCCGCGGUAGAGCAUGUAUGUUGGGACCCGAAAGAUGGUGAACUAUGCCUGAAUAGGGUGAAGCCAGAGGAAACUCUGGUGGAGGCUCGUAGCGAUUCUGACGUGCAAAUCGAUCGUCAAAUUUGGGUAUAGGGGCGAAAGACUAAUCGAACCAUCUAGUAGCUGGUUCCUGCCGAAGUUUCCCUC